UGAUGUGAACUGAUAAACCAUCGUGUCA
rnacentral:sRNA from 1 species